AAUAAGCUCAUUUUUCAAUUAUUAGAUACAAUGCUGUGACUCUUCGUCUUAUUUGAAUUUUUUGUAAUUAAUAUUUUUAUUUUUACUAGAUGAUAAACCAUAAUAAUACUUUACGUGUGGCUAAUUUACUUAAGUUUUUGUAUAUUUUUUUUUCAAAUAAGACAAAUGGUCAAAGCGUUGAAUACAUAAAUAGAAAGAUGAACUUAUA
rnacentral:pre_miRNA from 1 species